rnacentral:rRNA from 1 species
UACAGAGGGGGCAAGCGUUGUUCGGAAUUACUGGGCGUAAAGGGCGCGUAGGCGGCCCGCUAAGUCGAACGUGAAAUCCCCGAGCUCAACUCGGGAACUGCGUCCGAUACUGGCGGGCUUGAAUCCGGGAGAGGGAUGCGGAAUUCCCGGUGUAGAGGUGAAAUUCGUAGAUAUCGGGAGGAACACCGGUGGCGAAGGCGGCGACCUGGGUAGAUACUGACGCUGAGGUGCGAAAGCGUGGGGAGCAAACAGG